UUCUCCUUUUCAAACUGCCAACAUAGAGAUCUGAUACAUCACUCCUACAAUGGACAACCUUGCAUAUUCUCCAAAUCUCAUGUUAUUUUCAUAUGCAUCAAUAACUAUCUGUAUUCGUCUACUUCCAUCAGUUGCAAGUAUAGAAGACUUUUAUAUCCUGAUUGCUGAUUGAAACCUGAAGAAUUCCAUGAGAACAGAAAUAUCUGCGACCAAUCGAACUAUUGACUUCUAAAGAUGAGAAUCCCUCUGAAUCCUCCUAUGGAGAUAAGAGAAUUAUGUGUCAAAUAUAGAUAAUCUUUUCUUGCUGGCUAUUCUAUGUAAACUGUUUUCUCAUGGAAACUGUUUUCUUGCUGGUGGUGAUCUAUUGUCUUUCCUUACUUUUUUCUUUUCAUUAAUUUUUUACAAAAUUUGAUUGACUUUUAGCACUUUUGAUCUUAGAAGA
rnacentral:lncRNA from 1 species